GCGCACGCUGGCGGCAGGCCUAACACAUGCAAGUCGCACGCACCUUUCGGGGUUAGUGGCGGACGGGUGAGUAACACGUGGGAACGUGCCUUUAGGUUCGGAAUAACUCAGGGAAACUUGUGCUAAUACCGAAUGUGCCCUUCGGGGGAAAGAUUAAUCGCCUUUAGAGCGGCCCGCGUCUGAUUAGCUAGUUGGUUGAGGUAAUGGCUCACCAAGGCGACGAUCAGUAGCUGGUCUGAGAGGAUGAUCAGCCACAUUGGGACUGAGACACGGCCCAAACUCCUACGGGAGGCAGCAGUGGGGAAUCUUGCGCAAUGGGCGAAAGCCUGACGCAGCCAUGCCGCGUGAAUGAUGAAGGUCUUAGGAUUGUAAAAUUCUUUCACCGGGGACGAUAAUGACGGUACCCGGAGAAGAAGCCCCGGCUAACUUCGUG
rnacentral:rRNA from 1 species